rnacentral:rRNA from 1 species
GACGAACGCUGGCGGCGUGCUUAACACAUGCAAGUCGAACGCUGAAGCUCAGCUUUUGUUGGGUGGAUGAGUGGCGAACGGGUGAGUAACACGUGAGUAACCUGCCCCCUUCUUUGGGAUAACGCCCGGAAGCGGGUGCUAAUACUGGAUAUUCACUGGUCUUCGCAUGGGGGUUGGUGGAAAGGGUUUUUCUGGUGGGGGAUGGGCUCGCGGCCUAUCAGCUUGUUGGUGGGGUGAUGGCCUACCAAGGCUUUGACGGGUAGCCGGCCUGAGAGGGUGACCGGUCACAUUGGGACUGAGAUACGGCCCAGACUGCUACGGGAGGCAGCAGUGGGGAAUAUUGCACAAUGGGCGCAAGCCUGAUGCAGCGACGCCGCGUGAGGGAUGGAGGCCUUCGGGUUGUGAACCUCUUUCGCUCAUGGUCAAGCCGCAACAAUGGUUGUGGUGAGGGUAGUGGGUAAAGAAGCGCCGGCUAACUACGUG